UUUAUAGUAAGAGGAAAAUCCGUCGAUUUUAAAAAUCGUGAGGGUUCAA
rnacentral:tRNA from 1 species